rnacentral:lncRNA from 1 species
GCAGAGGCACCAGAUCCCCUGGAACUGUUGUUAGUGGCAGUUAGGAGCUGCUUCGUGUGGCUACUGGGAGCUAAAUGUAGACCCUCUGCAAGAGCAGCAUGCACUCUCUUAGCAUCCCUGGAACUCAGGAUUUUCAUACAACUGGCACAGCAAAUCGGGAAUAUCUCACCAGGUGCCAGAAUGGAAUUAUCACUAAUAUGGCAAGCAUCUGAGCACCUAUGUGUACCUACCACCUAAUCAAAGAAGCCCUUCUUUAAAGCAAAUGAAAACCAUCAUAGAAAACGACAACUGAACAUAAUGCAAAAAACCAACAGAUCAUGAGGAGCCAAGCCCCCGUGGAUAUAUCUACACCACAGUUCCUUAAUCUGUGGCUCAUGGAACAUUGCAGAAAAGUGAACUGAACUGGAAAAGAUUUUAAAAGCCAGAGUAUCACAAGUCUUGUACAGUCUCUUCUAGAGAUGGCUUCAGAAACAAGACUGGAACAAUAACAACGGUAAUGGAUGAGUUCACAUAGAAGGGGGGAAAUUUCACAGGGUUCCACACUUAAACAAGGAACUACAGACUAUUGACAGCUGAGAGAAGAACUUAGUCUCUACCAUGGCUUAGCCCUCUUAUUGUCUAAUGCAGAGAGACGAUGAACUCUUCUUCCAUGAAGUCUUCAUAUCAGUACAAUAAUUUAACCCAAGUAAACUGAAAGGUUGAAUAUAUAACCGACAAGGUCAUGUCCAUCAGUUUAUCAACAGACCAAAUGUCAAAAUAAGGUAAGUUUACUUGUUGCAAAGACAACUUGGAAGUCAGGAUUGAUGAAGUGUAAUUCCUUUGUGGAUUGCUUUAACAAAUGAUUCAUCUUGAUGCUCCACAGAACAACUGUUACUUGGAAAUUAUCCAUAAGGAUGGCAGAAUUAAAGGGUGACCCAAAAGUAGGGGUAUCUGGGUAUGAAGACAUUAGGACAGCAUUCAGUAAAUAGUGC